AAAGGGUCCGCCUGGGUAGUACGGACCCUGCACUCAGAGGGUUGGCGGCGGGAGGGGUCUCGCCGCC
rnacentral:ncRNA from 1 species